AAUUUUUUUAAAAAGGCGUAGAAAAGGAAAUCAAGAACUACUUAGGUCUUGUAUUUUUCUCUUCUGCUUUUCUUUGCAUGUUAGAUUAUGUCUCAGUCUUCAGAUUUAUGAUCUGAGAAGGAGAGAUUCUUUCUCACGAGCUCAAGUUUAAAAAAAAAUUUAACACAAACCACCACCAGCAGCAGUAGCACCACCACCACCACCUUAAAGAAUUCCCACCAGAGCAGGCAUGGGUUGUUAUAUGCCUACUCCUUAACCCAGGCUGGGGUUGAGGGGAUGGGGCAUUAUAGUUGUCCUCAUUUAGGUCAGACACUCACUGUGGCAGAGACACCUAGUCACCUACCUACCACAUCUGAUUUCCCCUUCUUGAAUAGCAAUAGAGCUCCUAAGUUUUAGCUGGGAACAGUGGUGCCUGAAAGAAAAACUACAUAUCUCAGCCACCCUUGCAGAUGGAUGUGGCCAUGGAGCUAGGUUCUGGGCAAUGACAUGUAAGUGCUGGUUUUGUGUGGCAGCUUCCAGGAAACCCCCUUUAAACGCAGCUGCUAUCUGUUAUCUGUUGUCUCUUCCUUUUCCUCCUUACUCGAUCUUUCCACCUGGAACAUGAAUGUGGUGGCAGAACUCUAGCAUCUAUUUUGGACCGUGAGAAUGAAGGUCACAUUCUAGGGAUGGGUGAGUAAUAAACUGAAAAGAGCCUGGGUUCCUGCAGACUUCAGAGAGCAGAACCACUGGGCUCAUCUCAGAUUGCCAAUCUACCCCUUUUAUUUUGAGUUUUACUGUCACCUUCAGCCAAACUUGAUCCUGACUAAUAAACCCACAUCUGUAGCCAUGGAAGGUACCCUCUCAAUAUAUGCUUUUCAUGAAUGCUAUAGCAGAGAAAAGAGGACAUAGUUUCUCACUGUCUCCUGAAGUUACCCCCGAAGGCGACACAGAUCACAUCUGUACCAUUUUACUGACCAAAGAAAAUUGCAUGGCCAUGUCUGACCCCAAAGGAAGUAGGGAACUACAAUCCUACCAUAUUCCCAGAAAGCAAAAAGCUAGAAAUAUUUGGUGAACACACAAAUUACCACCAUAUUUCUAUGUUAUAUAUUGGCAACUUUACUUUUUUUUUCUUUUGAUUACCGUUAUGGACAUUUUUAUCUAUUUUAUGUUUUUUUAGAGAACUAACACUUGGACUCUUUGUUUUCUGAUACAUUAAUUUACACUUUUAUACUGACAAUUUAUAUUGUAUUUCCUUACCUUGAAACCUUUGUUCAUUUAUUUUCAUUUACUUUGCUUUUUAAAUAAAGCUCUUGCAGAUAUAA